AGAGUUGAUCCUGGCUCAGGAUGAACGCUAGCGGCAGGCUUAACACAUACAAGUCGAGGGGUAUAGUAGCAAUACUAGAGACCGGCGCACGGGUGCGUAACGCGUAUGCAAUCUACCUUUUACAGAGGGAUAGCCCAGAGAAAUUUGGAUUAAUACCUCAUAGUAUAGCGACCUGGCAUCAGGAUUCUAUUAAAGUCACAACGGUAAAAGAUGAGCAUGCGUCCCAUUAGCUAGUUGGUAAGGUAACGGCUUACCAAGGCGACGAUGGGUAGGGGUCCUGAGAGGGAGAUCCCCCACACUGGUACUGAGACACGGACCAGACUCCUACGGGAGGCAGCAGUGAGGAAUAUUGGACAAUGGGCGCAAGCCUGAUCCAGCCAUGCCGCGUGCAGGAUGACGGUCCUAUGGAUUGUAAACUGCUUUUGUACAGGAAGAAACCCUUUCACGUGUGAGAGAUUGACGGUACUGUAAGAAUAAGGAUCGGCUAACUCCGUGCCAGCAGCCGCGGUAAUACGGAGGAUCCAAGCGUUAUCCGGAAUCAUUGGGUUUAAAGGGUCCGUAGGCGGCCAGAUAAGUCAGUGGUGAAAGCCCAUCGCUCAACGGUGGAACGGCCAUUGAUACUGUCUGGCUUGAAUUACAAGGAAGUAACUAGAAUAUGU
rnacentral:rRNA from 1 species